rnacentral:tRNA from 1 species
GUAGGCAUAGUUUAACAAAAACAUUAGAUUGUGAUUCUAAAAACAGAGGUGGAAAACCCCUUGCUCACC